CAAAAAAAUUACAAAACAUACAUUUCCACAACGUCCUCGUAUUGAGAAAUAAAGAAAAAAACAGCACACGUUAAAUAGUAAUUUAAAAAGUAUUUUACCAUUGGGUAAGACAGCAUGUUAGAGAGGAUUUUGUACCGUCUAAUCUGUCUGCUACUGCUGAGCACCAUCUAGCCAUAUAUGUAAGAGAAAUUCAGGGCAAAGUUUUAUAUGUGGAGCAAUCACUCUGGAAACCGAUUACAUUUUCCUGAUGAUUGUUCUCCUUUAAGAGCUUUAUCUCAGAAGCCCUUGCUGUACAUAUGGCCCAAAGUUACUGAACUAGCUGCAUCCUAGUGGCCAUUUUGGAUUCUCUGCUUUGGCGAAAUACGUUUUGGGUGUCUGGAUUUAGUGAUAAUUUAUAUUUUUUUCCCCAUUUCUAGUAUUUUUUUUUUUUAAUUCUGACUGCAAACCAGUCCAUUAAUUAUUGUAUAGAUAUACUGAAAGAUUAAACUAAUAAAGGGGGUCUUCAUCAUUGGGAUGGGCGGGGUUGGCGGGAGGGAGGACUGCUCCUCCCUCUGUUGGGCAGAGAGCUACUUUUAAGCUGAAUAUGAAGAGCCGAUGACAGCCAAUCCCUGCUCUAUUAUUUAUCAGUUUUUUCCUCCCAUGAUCCUCUGGGGGUGAUAGUCCAACACAGCUUCUCAGCUAUAGACCAAAUGUAACCAACAUCUUGAGAAAGAUACUCCGUAGAGAAUAUUAAAUAUGUUAAUGGUUGUAUUUUGUACUUAAGGAACAAUAUAGUAACCAAUACCCCUACAUCUCAAGUUCUGGGUGCCAUGUGCUGUAAAUAUUGCCAGAAUAGAAACAGCAAUGUUUAGAUUGCAGUGUAAACCUGCCCCUAGUGGCUGUCCUUCUAACAGCUACUAAUAGCUCUUUUGCGAAAUAGUGAAGUAAAACUCCACCAUUUCUAUCAAAUGGUCUCAAAGGGACCAUCUGAUUGGUGCAUCAUGACGGUUUGCCAAGCAUGCCCAUUAGCCUCUCAAUGCUUUCCAAUGGUCUCCCGAGGAGCUCCCCUGAAAUAGACCAGUGCUGGAAUGGAGAAAUUAUAAGUAAAUCCUUGCAGUGGGGGCCCAGUCACUUAAACGGUGACUAGGGCACUAUACACAAAUGUGUAUUCCUAACAUUAGUAGUGUUCCUUUAUAAAAUAAUCCCACCAAACUUUCUAUCUAUACGAGCCUCUCGUGAAAUCCUUUCUUAUCUUCAUAGUGAUUGUUAAUAAAUCCUUCAGCAGGAUCAAUGUUGCUAAUGUUUGGCUUGACAUAAAUCCCGGGUUUAUUCACUAAACAGAAAUUUGAGAUUAAUCUCAAAAGUAAUUCCAUUUAAAUGAAAAAUUAUUUUCUUUGUCCCUCUAAUAAUGGACCUGCAGGAGAAUGAUGGGGAAUUCUGUAUGACAGCUGGAAGGCCAAUGCUAGAUGUUCUGCUGUCAUUAUUUAAAAAAAUAUUUUUCUUAGUUCUCGUCUCCUGACGAAUCCAAUCAGGGCAAGGGAAAAGCUUUGUGGAAAAUCUUAUUAGUUUGUACCUUUAUCUUUCAUUUGAUAUAUACUACUUAAACUCUAAAACACUAAUAACAUUUUAUUCCAUAAAGUUUCAAGCAUUUCCUUCUGUUUAUAGCAUAGUCAUUGUUAAAUAACUACAGCUACAUAACUACAUACGCACACUGUGUUAUAACUGUAGCUAUAAGGUUAUGGUGUGAGGAGAUCCUCUGUCUCCCGCACACUGUGUUAUAACUGCAGCUAUAAGGUUAUGGUGUGAGGAGAUCCUUGUCUCCCCGCACACAGUGUAUUAUAACUGCAGCUAUAAGGUUAUGGUGUAAGGAGGUCCCCUGUCUCCCACACACAGUGUAUUAUAACGGCAGCUAUAAGGUUAUGGUGUAAGGAAGUCCCCUGUCUACCCGCACACAGUGUAUUAUAACUGCAGCUAUAAGGUUAUGGUGUAAGGAAGUCCCCUGUCUACCCGCACACAGUGUAUUAUAACUGCAGCUAUAAGGUUAUGGUGUAAGGAGGUCCCCUGUCUCCCCGCACACAGUGUAUUAUAACUGCAGCUAUAAGGUUAUGGUGUAAGGAGGUCCCCUGUCUCCCCGCACACAGUGUAUUAUAACUGCAGCUAUAAGGUUAUGGUGUAAGGAGGUCCCCUGUCUCCCCGCACACAGUGUAUUAUAACUGCAGCUAUAAGGUUAUGGUGUAAGGAGGUCCCCUGUCUCCCCGCACACAGUGUAUUAUAACUGCAGCCCCCUAUGGUGUAAGGAGGUCCCCUGUCUCCCCGCACACAGUGUAUUAUAACUGCAGCUAUAAGGUUAUGGUGUAAGGAGGUCCCCUGUCUCCCCGCACACAGUGUAUUAUAACUGUAGCUAUAAGGUUAUGGUGUAAGGAGGUCCCCUGUCUCCCUGCACACUGUGUAUUAUAACUGCCUAUGCUGGUAUAUGGUGUAAGGAGGUCCCCUGUCUCCCCGCACACAGUGUAUUAUAACUGUAGCUAUAAGGUUAUGGUGUAAGGAGGUCCCCUGUCUCCCUGCACACAGUGUAUUAUAACUGCAGCUAUAAGGUUAUGGUGUAAGGAGGUCCCCU